rnacentral:rRNA from 1 species
GUAGGUGGCAAGCGUUGUCCGGAAUUAUUGGGCGUAAAGCGCGCGCAGGUGGUUCUUUAAGUCUGAUGUGAAAGCCCCCGGCUCAACCGGGGAGGGUCAUUGGAAACUGGGGAACUUGAGUGCAGGAGAGGAAAGUGGAACUCCACGUGUAGCGGUGAAAUGCGUAGAUAUGUGGAGGAACACCAGUGGCGAAGGCGACUUUCUGGCCUGUAACUGACACUGAGGCGCGAAAGCGUGGGGAGCAAACAGGGAUUAGAUACCCUGGUAGUCCACGCCGUAAACGAUGAGUGCUAAGUGUUGGGGGGGUUUCCCGCCCCUCAGUGCUGCAGCUAACGCAUUAAGCACUCCGCCUGGGGAUACGGUCGCAAGACUG